rnacentral:rRNA from 1 species
UGGCGGACGGGUGAGUAAUGUCGGGGAAACUGCCCGAUGGGAGGGGAUAACUACUGGAAACGGUAGCUAAUACCGCAUAACGUCGCAAGACCAAAGAGGGGGACCUUAGGGCCUCUUGCCAUCGGAUGUGCCCAGAUGGGAUUAGCUAGUAGGUGGGGUAAUGGCUCACCUAGGCGACGAUCCCUAGCUGGUCUGAGAGGAUGACCAGCCACACUGGAACUGAGACACGGUCCAG